UGCUCAGACAGGACCUCACCUGCCCCAGCCUCUCGCUUACUGGCAAAUCGUCAUCCAGUGGAGGAGGGGCCAGACUGGAGCUCAGACCUGAGGAUUGAUAGAAAAACAGAGAGUCCAAUUAACACCAGACCAUCACUGUCUCUUACUGGAAAACCAUCAGUCCUGUUGAGCUUCUGACGAGCUGCUGGUGCUGCACAGAUAACACAUGCAUGGUUGAGGAGACUGCAUUCAACACAGGCUAUUUGGAGUAUAACAGUUGUUUGUGUUGUAGCUGACUUAUUGUAGUGUUGAAGAGGCGCCGGUCACUUGCUACGUCUAUGAUGGAGAAGGUCCCGGAGUUGCUGGGACAGAGUGAAGCAUCCUGGGACAGCUG